AGGCAGCGGGCAGCUCGUGUUUGUAGGGGCCCGGGGCUGCGCGCCCAAAGCGACACGUGGGCGUGGGGAAGGAAGUGACACAGAGCUGGGGGUAGGAAGAUGAGUUCGAGCUGGAGUGCCUGUGCUGCAAGAAGAAGGAAUUCAGCCUUGCCAGGGUUUCUGACGUGUGUGUUGGUGUUCCCUGGGAAAUGCAGACAUUUGGGGAAGUGCCUUUGGAGGAAAAAAGCUUGAUUGUCAAGGCAACUGCUUCCCCAGGAGCCCCCAGUGAGCCAAGGGUGGCAGCAGCUACAGCUCCAUUCUCCUGAGCUCACAGCGCAGCGCAGCUGUUCCAGCCACACCAGCACGGGACUGGCCGCAGGUUGUACAGCCCGUGCCUGGGCCAGGAUCAGAGCGCGUUUCCUGUCAGGUAAGGGGAGCCCCGCACUCUUCCACAGGAGAAUGAAUGUGAAGAAUGCCAGAGAAAAUUGAAGUCUAUUCAGCCUGGUGAAGAUGAAAUCUGCUUCUGUCCUUGUAUAGAGCUGUGGGUUUGUUUACGUGGCUUUUCCUUCCCUUUUCUGCCUGGCUUUCUCACCUGCAGUUUUCAGUAGAAAAGUGAAGCCAUAGGUGGAAUAAAUAGACUCCACAACGUGAUGUAGUUAUGAAGUGGGUCUGUAUUGUCAGCACCCGGCACAAUCGAGAUAGCUCUCCUGGAAACUUGUGCCUUGAGCCCUGGUCUGAGCCCCAUCUUUUACUCACAAAGGUGCUCCAUAUAGAUGACAUUGCUCAACCUUUUCAUGCAUAUUCAACCCCUGGCUCCGCCUGUCCUCGCCUGGCAUGAUAAUUAGAUCCACGCCCUUCUGAGCAUGCCUUGUUCAUGGUGGGGGUCACAUGGGAGUCUUUGGUGGUCUCUGAGGCCGAAGAUUGUGGUCAUCCUUAUGGCUGAACUUUUCAACUUUUCUCCUUUGUACAUGUGCUUUGGUCCCUUGGUGCUUAUCUGAGUAUGUCUGUCGGUCUUGAUGAGCUUGGAGACAGAGGAGGCCCUUUAUCUGGGUUUCUGCAUCCUUGGUCUUCUCCCAGUAUUGUUCUUUAUGAAAGAAGCUUCUGAAAUUUGCAUUUUUCUAUUCUUUUUGUACUAUGACACAUGUUUCUUAAGUAAAAGGUUAAAAUUCAACACAUAAUUCUGCAAGCUAAAAUUUAAAUGCUUAAUUCAUAUUGCUAACUCAAGGGAGCUCCAAAAAUCUCUCUUUGAAAAGCAACAAACUUUUAAGAGGUUAAACCUCAAGAUAACUGUGAUCUUCAAUCAAUGCCUCCUUCCACUUUCUUAAAAUCUCUUUGUCCUGGGCACUCACUAUGGCCUUUUUCCUGGAAGCUCUCUGGCUGUCUUGAAUGCUUAUGGAGUAAAAGGUAAUCCCUGACCUAUUUUCGACUCUGCCCAGACAGAGACUGCUGGAAGGGAGGCAGGACUGGUACUGGGGACCUGGCAGCUUCUCCAGGAAGAAAAAUUAUUGAAAUAAUGGUAAUGUGGACAAGGCAUGCAAGUCCAGGUGGUGAGCUCAAAUAUGCAAGAACUUGCAGUUUCCCCUCAGCACUUGACAGCUAAGGGGUAUGGUCUCUUCUUAUUUCUGUCUCUUAAUCCUCAAUCCUCGCCACACUCCUUCAACAUCUUUUGCAUUGUCAUCUUCCCUGUUUUCUCCCUCCUUUCUUUCUGUGACUUUCUGUACACGACAGACAAUCUGUCACACACUGUCAGCUUGCUCAGUCACCCGAGCAGUGAUAAUGAUGGUGUAGAAAUUGUAGGUGCACAGGAGGCAAAGGUGUCAUGCUUCUGUGUGCCCUCUGCAGGCAAACCUGCUUCCCAAAGCUUCAGUCACGCUUGGAACAAAGGCUUGUCCCCACUGCUUUGUUGUGGUUUAUGCAUUGAUGGAGCAACACUUCUGUCUCAGCCGGCUUAAGCCACUGCAAAGCUGGAAUUGUUGCUUUAGCAGCAGAUGUGCUGGCAGGGUUCUUACAGCUCCAUAGUAAGAACUCUGCAGUUCUUCUAGAACAGGUUUCUGAUUUUUGUGCAAUAAAAACAGUGCCUUCACCUGCUGCAGUGCAAGUCAUGCACUCAUGUAGAUGUGUUUUCAGACACAGGUAUUUCUAUAUAUGCCUAGUGAGUGGCCUCGUGGGGAGCAGGGACAAAUGAGGAAGGAAAGUGGGCUCACAAAACAUGCUUCUGCUUCAACAAAAAGCCCAGUCUUCCCUUCACAGAGAAGGAUAUAAACUUUUUCUUAAAGGGAAUAAACAAGUCUCUCUAUGUCCUGAUCUUUUACUAGUUUGAAAUUGUUCAGAAAGGUUGUAAUUUUUUUUUUUUCCUCGUGGUGGUGGGGGGUGGGGUCUGCAUUUCAAGCCUGUUCUCCCAGCAGUCAGGGACCUGCACAGCUGCUGUGGGUGGGGCAGGUGCUCAGGUAAUUACCAACAGCUGCUUGGUAAUUACUGACAGCCAGGUGAGAAAUUGGCUUGUGCCUGGUUGAGGGCUUGAGGACUGUGGUGAGAGGAGGAAUAGGGAGUGGAGUGGAAAAUACCAUUUAUACAAGCAGGUAUAGGUGGAUGUCUGGGGUGUAGGUGGGAGUUAACAGGUUUAGGUACUGCAUUUACGAAAAAUUGAACAUUUAACUCUGAGAUAGGACUAUUUAGUUGCUACUCUAAAUGCUGCAUUUACUAACAUGGAAUGUAGUUUCUUUGUGUUUUGCUCAGAGAGUGUCUCAAAAACAUUGAAGUCUAAUUAUAGUCAUCAUAAACACAAGUUAAUAUCUUACUUUUUGUUGCAAACAGAAGCUGAAAGGGCCAAUGGAUCUUGCAUUCAGUAAUGUACACAUUUUAAAAGAAGUGGCUCUCUCCUGUUCCUGUGGCUAGCUGGUCUCUUCAGGUUACACAAACAUUUCUGGGAGCAUUUCCUUGCUGUUCAAAUAUCUCUAUCCCCUUGGAAUCUGAUGCAAAUAUUAUAUGUUUCUAAAAUUAUCUCUAGGCCCUUUCAUUUUCUAAUUUGCACCUGUCACCUAGGGGAAAACCCAAUCUGAGAAGGUUUUAUUUUUUGUAGCCUCUCAAAUUGCAGCCCAUUGUAUUUAGCUGCAAAAUCCUAAAUCAUGCUAUCAGGAUACCUGAAAUGGACACUGGUAGAGAGUAAAAAAACAAUGCCUGAUACAGAUGCUAUCAACUAUUUUUAGUUCCUGACAAUCCAGUAUUGCCCUUACCCAAGGACUGUUCUUGUUUUUUUCUCUUUUUCUCAGCUGUCAGUUCUGUGAGGGCUGAGAAACAAAAAUCCCAAGUAAGGGUAUCCAGAGUAGAUGGACAUGAUGAGAAUUCGGGGCCAAUUUAACCAUACACUGAUCUGUAGGAUUGCCCUCCUCCGUGGAAGAUUGUAGUGGUGUGAUUGCAAUCAUUUCUGCUGGUCAGUGUUUUUAGUGUUAACACAGCUCCCCAGGGAGCCAGCCAGGUUUUAUGACUCUCUUUGGAACUGAAAGAAAAAGAGAAGAAAAAGUGUCUGUGGUGUUUGCCUGCAGCAGUUCCACAUGCUAUUGGUGGCAUGUAACAACUAGAUUCCACACCUAGGAACUGCUUGUGCUGCAGUCUGAAGUGUGCUACCUGUGAGAGCUGCUUCUGGAGAAAGGUAAUUUCUCUUACUGCUGUGUUAAUUCUUCCUACAGAAUGAGAACAACCCAACAACUUCCUAGUUGCUUCCAGACGUUUACAUAAGGAUUUGUAUUUGUACCCCUGUCCUUGGAUGUUAGAAUUCUGUAGUCAAGCUACCCAAAAGCUCCAAGAGCUGUAUCCAAGCAAGGGUGUGUUUGGGUGGUGGUCUGGGACAGAGAGUAUUCUCCUCUGUAGUUAAAACUGGCCAAGUUUAAGCUUUUUAAUUGACAGGCAUUUUUAACCGGAAAAAUAACAGUUUUUGGAAAUACAGAGUUUUGAAAUCCCCAUAUUACAUAAUCUAAACAUAGAGCAUAUUUUACAAGCUCACUUUGGGAACUGCUUGCAAUUCAAUGCUGCCUCUUGAGGUCUCUCAAGUUGUGGGUGUCCUAAAGAAGAAGAGAAAUAGGAAUUUACAAGAGAGGAAACAGAACUCCAGAACUUUUCACUACACCAGUCCUGUACUGAAGUGGCUGUUGUGAAAAAUACAGCCAGCCCCAUGAAACUUAGCAGUGUGAAGAAACUGCUGCACAGCAACAGCUGAACUUCAGUGUGUCUGAGCCAGUGCUGCUGGCUCAAAUGCUGCCAGCAUUAUCUCUGCACCCUGGGACACUUCCCGGUUCCUGUGCCUUGACACUGCUUUCCCAUGGGGCUGGGGAAGGAGUUUGGCUCUAUGAACUGCCUGGUGCUGUGAAACAGGUUCAUUUUUGUCAGAUGAGGUGAUGGUGUGCACGUGUCCACAUGUCUCCCUGCCUUAGUGCCCUUUGUGAGCUUCUUACUUGAGCUGGAAUUUGUGGAGUGUUUAAAGCUUGCUGCCUUUUAUUUCUUUGGUCCUAUUCAGAGAAAUGAGUUGUUGAAGUCCUUGAAAUGUUCCGUUUUCCUCCUUAUGCAAGAUAGUGAGGAAUGCCUUCUUUUCAUCCCUUAGUAUUUUGCAUACAGGAUUCCCCUGGGAUGGAAGAACUUGAAGCAUUUCAAGUCUGCAGCUUCAGGAAUGAAAUAAACUUUUGACUCAAGCUGUCAACCUGAAUAAAUACCCCACAGCAAUUGCAAGUUAUAGCUAGUAACAAUGGAAUAAAAAUACAAUUGCCCUUUUUGCUCUUAGCAUUUUCUCCCUGGUCCUAUAAAAUUUGGGUUUGUGCCUUCUUCCUUAGUUUGCUUUCCAAACCAUUGCAUGUCCUCAAUAAAUCUGGAGAACUGUCUCAUGAGUAGAUCUGAAGAAUCAGUUUUGAAUCUAGGAAAUUAAAGGAAGAAUCACACUUCAUAAGCUUGGGCUUCUGGACUGAAAGUUUUAGAUCCUUCAAGUAGACAUUGCUGAAUGUUCAACCUGGUCUGGCAGGCUCCUCUCUCUGAAAGGUGGGCAACUGAAACCUCUGUGUUUGCACAGAAAGGCAAGUUAUGGGAUAGCUGGAAAUUGGCUCUGGCCAGCUGGUGUACCAGGUGUUAUCUUUAAUAGUUGUUUUCUUAUGUUAUUAGUAACCAGGCCAUUAGGCC